UUAAAGAGUCUCACUAUGCUAGCUGACUCUAGCCCAAAAGAUACCAUCCUACAAGUAUGCCCCGUUCAGCUGAGCUUAAAUGGAGGUCUCUCCAAACAGCUAAGUUUCUGGGAUUUGGGGCCCCCUGAGGACUCCAAGAGACUUUUGACUGGGUUUUUUAUGGCCCUAGAUAUAGGGUUACCUCACUGUGUCUAUGCUUACUUCGAUGUCUGGGGUCAAGGGACCCUGGUCACUGUCUCCUCAGCCACAACAACAGCCCCAUCUGUCUAUCCACUGGCUCCUGGAAGUGGAGGCACAACUGGCUCCACAGUGACCCUGGGAUGCUUGGUCAAGGGCUAUUUCCCUGAGCCGGCGACCGUAACCUGGAACUCUGGAACCCUGACCAGCGGCGUGCACAUCUUCCCGGCGGUCCUAGAUUCUGGGCUCUACUCCCUCAGCAGCUCAGUAACUGUGCCCUCCAGCAUGUGGCCCAGCCAGACUGUCACCUGCAACGUCGCCCACCCGGCCAGCAGCACCAAGGUGGACAAGAAAGUUGUGCCGAAGACAGGCUGUCCCAACCCUUGCACGUGUCCAGUCCCAGAAACAUCAUCCGUCUUCAUCUUCCCACCAAAGCUCAAGGAUAUACUCACGAUCUCUCGGAAUCCCAAGAUCACGUGUGUUGUGGUGGACAUUAGUCAGGAUGAUCCCAAGAUCCAGUUCAGCUGGUUCAUAGAUGGCAAGGAGGUGCACGAUGCUCAGGAACAGCCCCGGGAGCUGCAGUUCAACAGCACCUUCCGAGAAGUCAGUGUCCUCCCCAUCCUACACCAGGACUGGCUGAAUGGCAAGGAGUACAAAUGCAAGGUCAACAGUGAAGACUUCCCUGCCCCCAUCGUAAAAACCAUCUCCAAAACGACAGGGCAACUUCGCGUUCCGCAGGUAUACACCAUACCCCCACCCAAGGAGCAGAUGACCAAGAAUGAAGUCAGUCUCACCUGCAUGAUAACGGGUUUCUACCCUCAAGACAUUGAUGUAGAGUGGCAGAGGAAUGGAGAACCAGAGCAGAACUACAAAAACACCCAACCCGUCUUGGACACAGAUGAGUCUUACUUCCUCUACAGCAAGCUCAAUGUGAAGAAGAGUGAUUGGGAGAGUGGGAAUACUUUCGUCUGCUCUGUGGUACACGAGGCCCUGCACAACCACCACACAGAGAAGAACCUCUCCUACACUUCUGAGGUGGAACUGGACAACUGUGCUGAGGCCCUGGACGGGGAGCUGGACGGGCUCUGGACGACCAUCACCAUCUUCAUCACCCUCUUCCUGCUCAGCGUGUGCUACAGUGCCACCGUCACACUCUUCAAGGUAAAGUGGAUCUUCUCCUCAGUGAUGGGGCUGAAGCAGACUCUGGCUCCUGACUACAAGAACAUGAUUGGACAAGGGCCUUAGGCCAUCUCCUAUAAUGGGCAGAGGGUUUCCCAGGCCCAGAAGGAUCCUGUCCACCAUGUCAAGCAGCCUAACUCAGAUCACACUGCGCACACAUGCUUCACUACCCUCUAACCCUGAGACCCAGCCACCCUCAGUUCUUCCCUCGUUGGAGGACCAUGUGAAGAGUAUAUUCUGUCCCAGGAAACAGCCAACAGGACCUAAACCACCAUCACAGCAGCAGCCAAGAUGGGGUCAGAAGGGCCAUAGUUUCCUCAACAGUAGAUCCAGACAGUUGGCACAGAAGAACACUCACUGAAGAAGAGACAAGUGCCCACAUUGUCUGUGUCCAACUCGAAAGGGACCAACCUUGGAGCCAGGCAUGUUCAAAUCAUCCUCUAAAACAGGGAUUCCUGACAGAAGAGACAGUUUUCAAAUCCCCAAGAGUAGACAUCUUUCAACCAAGCCAAGAGGACCAAGGCGACCAUGGCCCAGAUGAAUCUCACUGGAGUUAUUCCAGAGGCCUUUGCAUUACCUAUGUUCAGCCAGGCUCCUUUUGACCCAAUCCAUGAACGCUGGAAUAAAGAAAAGGCCUGAGUUUCUCAGGGUCUUGAAACCUGAGAACCUUCCAAAGAUUGGGCUACUUGUGCAUAUCCCUCUUCUGGACACUGGUUCAACACACCGGAUUCUCAGACUACCCUGACCCCACAGCCUUGAGAUCUGGACACUGCCCUCUCUCUGGAUAUCUCAACUACACUCUGAACUCCUAGCAGAAGAGGGCCUGGACUUCAUAGCUUCUGUGUGACCCUGGCAGGACACUGUUCAUGGGCUGGGUGACCAGCAAGGACCUCCUGGAGAGGGACCUGGUGAGCAGGUUCCAAUUAGGCCAGAAGAAAGAAGGCAAAGAGCAAUAGUGGUCGAGGGACACGGAAAAGAUUAAUGGUACAGCAGGCUCAUACUCCAGUCCUGGCACCUGCUCAGGACACAUACAAGAAAUUGCCCAAGGAAUUGUCAUGGCCUGAAGCACUAUCUACUAAUGUGUGGAGUAGGUUUCCGGAGGCCCAAUGCCUGCUUCUCCAUCAUUUCUCAGUCAAUGAAGACACAGGAAGAAAAAGGAAAGCAGAAAGAAAAGUGGGUACCUGCCAUUCCAUGACUGGGACGAAGUUCUCAGAGGACUUGGGGCUUUGGCUUCACCUGAUUUCCUGGAGAUCCUUGAUACAUUUAAGAUCUCUCUCUAGUUUGGUUUUGUUUGUUUAUUUUUGUCUUUGUUUUUCGACAAUAAAACAUUCUUUAGAAAUUCUA